CCUACGGGUUGCAGCAGUGGGGAAUAUUGCACAAUGGGCGCAAGCCUGAUGCAGCCAUGCCGCGUGUGUGAAGAAGGCCUUCGGGUUGUAAAGCACUUUCAGCGAGGAGGAAGGUGGUGAACUUAAUACGUUCAUCAAUUGACGUUACUCGCAGAAGAAGCACCGGCUAACUCCGUGCCAGCAGCCGCGGUAAUACGGAGGGUGCAAGCGUUAAUCGGAAUUACUGGGCGUAAAGCGCACGCAGGCGGUUUGUUAAGUCAGAUGUGAAAUCCCCGGACUCAACCUGGGAACUGCAUUUGAAACUGGCAAGCUAGAGUCUCGUAGAGGGGGGUAGAAUUCCAGGUGUAGCGGUGAAAUGCGUAGAGAUCUGGAGGAACACCAGUGGCGAAGGCGGCUCUCUGGUCUGUAACUGACGCUGAGGCGCGAAAGCGUGGGGAGCAAACAGGAUUAGAUACCCCCGUAGUC
rnacentral:rRNA from 1 species